UUAAAGGUCCAACCUGCCCAGUGAAAACUUUAAACGGCCGCGGUAUCCUAACCGUGCAAAGGUAGCGCAAUCACUUGCCCCUUAAAUGGGGGCUGGUAUGAACGGUUUAAUGAGGGUCUAACUGUCUCCUGAAGCCAAUCAAUGAACUUGAUAACUCAGUACAAACGCUGAAAUACAACCAUAAGACGAGAAGACCCUGUGGAACUUCAAGUAUCCUGCUGACAGCCUGAACUAGGGCCCCCUCAGCAUAAAACUUCAGUUGGGGCAACUACGGGGUAAAACAAAACCCCCACGAAAAUAACUCACCGUUAUACAACCAGGCCCACACGCCACAGCUUCUGUUCGACCCAGUCCAAACUGAUCACCGAACCAAGCUACCCCAGGGAUAACAGCGCUAUCUCCUUCAAGAGUCCGUAUCGCCAAGGAGGUUUACGACCUCGAUGUUGGAUCAGGACACCCCGGCGGCGCAGCCGCUGCCAAAAGGUUCGUUUGU
rnacentral:rRNA from 1 species